rnacentral:tRNA from 2 species
GCAUUCGUAGCUCAACUGGAUAGAGCUUCUGACUUCGGAUCAGAAGGUUACAGGUUCAAAUCCUGUCGAAUGCACCA